AAAUCACAAUGCGGGACUGUUAGUCUUGCAAUUGGAUUGAGAACAACGUACAACUCUUAUCGAUAAGCCAUUGGAGGGCAAGUCUGGUGCCAGCAGCCGCGGUAAUUCCAGCUCCAAUAGCGUAUAUUAACGUUGUUGCAGUUAAAAAGCUCGUAGUUGAAGUGAGGGAGUGUGUGGGUAUAAGAGCUAGUCUCAAGUGCUCACAACCUCCCCCCUCCAAUCGGUGUAGUGGGGUAUUCAGUUAUUCCACUACUCCUUUGGUCGUUUACUGUGAGAAAAUUAGAGUGUUCAAAGCGGGCGUUUGUUUGAAUAGAUUAGCAUGGAAUAAUGAUUGAAGGCUUUCGUGUUCGAUUUGAUUGGUUUGUUCAUGGAAGCAAGGUUAAAAGGAACAGUUGGGGGUAUUCAUAUUCACUAGUUAGAGGUGAAAUUCUCGGAUUUAUGGAAGAUGA
rnacentral:rRNA from 1 species